UACGUAGGGGGCAAGCGUUGUUCGGAUUCAUUGGGCGUAAAGAGCGUGUAGGCGGCCAGGUAGGUCGGUUGUGAAAACUGGAGGCUCAACCUUCAGAGGUCGACCGAAACCAUCUGGCUAGAGUCCGGGAGAGGAGAGUGGAAUUCCUGGUGUAGCGGUGAAAUGCGCAGAUAUCAGGAAGAACACCAGUGGCGAAAGCGGCUCUCUGGAACGGUACUGACGCUGAGACGCGAAAGCGUGGGGAGCGAACAGG
rnacentral:rRNA from 1 species